rnacentral:rRNA from 1 species
GCGUGAGUGAAGAAGGCCUUAGGGUUGUAAAACUCUUUCGCCGGUGAAGAUAAUGACGGUAACCGGAGAAGAAGCCCCGGCUAACUUCGUGCCAGCAGCCGCGGUAAUACGAAGGGGGCUAGCGUUGUUCGGAAUUACUGGGCGUAAAGCGCACGUAGGCGGAUCCGUAAGUUGGGGGUGAAAUCCCAGGGCUCAACCCUGGAACUGCCUUCAAGACUGCAGGUCUCGAGGUCAGGAGAGGCGAGUGGAAUUCCGAGUGUAGAGGUGAAAUUCGU